rnacentral:rRNA from 1 species
AACGACUCUCGGCAACGGAUAUCUCGGCUCUCGCAUCGAUGAAGAACGUAGCGAAAUGCGAUACUUGGUGUGAAUUGCAGAAUCCCGUGAACCAUCGAGUCUUUGAACGCAAGUUGCGCCCGAAGCCACUAGGCCCAGGGCACGUCUGCCUGGGUGUCACGC